CGUGAGAACCAGAUGGACAAAUGGACAGUUCCAGUUUGGACAUGUAGCCCAGUGACUCCUGCAUUACAACGACAGGCAGAAAGUUACCCAGAAAGCUUGUUGCUGUGAGCUUCAGAGCACACGCUUUUGUUACAGACACUCGGUGGAAAGAUGAUGUCCAGUGUUGUUACCCACGAGAUACCAAAGUGAGCAAAUUAUAUGGAAAUUGAAGAAUAGAAGUAUUCAAAGGUUUGGGUGAUUGGAUACUUAGUUUUCAUUCAAACCUUGUAGAACUGCCCGGUGUCUCUAAAUUCUGUGCAUGUGACAUAUUACCAGAAUUCAAAUUAAUUCUUGAAGUGAAUUGGAAGAGAAGAGGAUUUAGAAGAAGGUUCUGACCGGUCAAAGCCAGACGCUGCCAUGUGGAAACAUGGGCCUUGGAUAGACAAAGACAAGCCAAAAAUUCUGAUUUACACAUGAAACAUCAUGAUUUUUAAAUGGUGGCCAAUAAUUCAACAGAGACUUUAAAAGAACGUGAAGGCCACAAACAAACAUCCCAGGUCUGCGGGCCAUAUGCCCCUCAGGGUGCCAGGGUAACGCCUCUAAUAGUCAUGCUGAGACAACAUCCACAUUAGUUUCCUGGGGCUGCUGCAACAAAUUACCACAAACUUGGUGGCCGAAAAUAACACAGAUCGAAUCACUUGUUCUGCUGGCCCAAAGUCCAAAACUAGUUUUGUCAGAGGCAUUGAACCAGAACGACUCCAUCUUGAAGAGGGGCUGGGUGAAAUGAGGCUGAGAUCCGCUUGAGGCUGAGAUCUGUUCUGCCGCACUCCCAGGAAGUUAGGGAUUCUUAGCCACAGGAUGUUUAUGGUUAAGGGAACAAGUUAAUAAUGUUUACGCAGCCGACCCAGGACUUCACAGACCCAGGAACUGCCCCAAUGGCCCGAUAUCUUAAGUACAAAAGCAUUCUUAGUUUAAGAAUAAGUUUACUUUAGGGGUUGGGGUGGGGGGGAUAGCAUUUGGAGAUAUACCUAAUGUUAAAUGAUGAGU
rnacentral:lncRNA from 10 species